rnacentral:lncRNA from 1 species
UGGGAGGCCCUGCCACGCGGCGCCGCGGCCUCAGCGGCCUGCGUUGCCGGACGGCCCCCGCCGCCGCCGCCAGGCCCGGGGCGCUGGGCGCGGACGCGGGCGCCCAGACCCGACUCACCCGUUUUUUAGGUCUACUUCGAGGAGUCGGCCAUAGCCACUGAAAAAGCGCUGUAUGUCCUUCUCCCGGACGUUGUAGCUCAGGCGUCCUAUGUAGACGCGCGGCAUGUCCGUGGCGGGCGUGGUCCCGGAGGCUGGCUGUCGAACGGCUGGCCGCAAGGCGGUAGCCGCGGUGCGGGUGCGGGGACGGCGAAAGCCCGAACACGCGCCUCACACCGCAGCGGCGGCCGAGUCCAGCCACACAAUGGUGCGCGCGCGCGCCAGGGCUACGCUAUAUGGGCGGCCGGAGGGGGCGUGGCCCGGCGCGUGACGUCAGCGCGCAACACGCUGCCUUCCCGCUGCGAGCGCGGGGCUGGAGGGUGCCGGUGGACUCCGCAGCCCGUGAGAUUGCGCACACCUCAGUUUGGACCAGGGACAUUCUAAAUGUUCAAGUGCUGCCUGCAGCCAGUGGCUACUCUGCAGGAUGGUGUGGCCCUUACAGAAUCAGGUGUUGGCCAGUUUCCCCAAGUGCCGGCCUCUGCCCAUGACAGCUCUGGAACUGAAGAAGAAGCUGGGAAGGGAGAGGCUGACAAAGAUGACAGAGUGAUAAAGGGUUCUGGGAAAACGGGUAUCCAGGUGUCAGGGCCUCCGCUCACCUACAAGAUAGUUUUACUUAACUUUGAAAUGUGGACCCCUCUGGGUGGAUGGAUUAGAAGGCAUGCCUGUCCUGCCUGGAAAGCAAGAAUGGAUGGGGUUUCAGUUCCUUCUGGCACCUGGGCUGGGUACAUGAGCCGCACAGCCCCCCUGGCAGGCCCCACCAGGGGUGAUCCCCACCCUUGGGUGGUGCAAUUAGGGGCCCCUUUCCACUCUGGCAGGAAGGAGGGUGGGGAGUGAGGGUUUGGGCAGGAGCAGGACAGAGUGAGGUGGGGAGGGAAGUCGAGGGGCUCUGUGUGAGGGUGUUAUUUCCUCCGCGCGGAGAGAUGGGCAGGCAAGAAGGCGGGCCAUGGAAGAUCAGAGGGUCCUUGGGCAGUGUCAGACGUGGCGGGCUUUCCCGUGGCCCGG